GGAAGUUAAGAAACUGUUUAUUAACUUUUAACUAAAAAAGCUAAGAGCUGAUUCUUAAAUAAGGACUUUAAAAAACAGUUCUUAACCUUUUUACUUAAAAGUUAAGAAACAGUUUCUUAAUUUCC
rnacentral:pre_miRNA from 1 species